GUAGCAGCUGACGCAGUUCAUUGUUAGGCGAGAGGCCAACUCCGGCUGGGUCAAGCUUUCCAACUGCAAGAAUCAAUUCAAGGAUAAGUAAUCGGUAGAACCUGCACUUCGAUUCAAUAUCUAACUUACACGGCAGCAGAAUCGUUAUAGCUGAAUACAGAUGUGUCCGUGAAGGUGUUACACAGGACCAUGGACUGGACCCGUGGGCAAUGAGAAUUGACUUCUGCAAAUUUUUGCGCGAGGAAACCACCUAGAUAUGAAAACAAAAAUCUGUAUUGUGGCAGCAUGAUUAUUUCGUAGUCAUAUGUUUAUGAUCCGGUUCGUAUUUAUUAGUCGAGUUGUCUGGCAAUAAUAAUAUGCUGGUAUACAGAUGGGUGGAAGUAACAUGAAAGGAAUGCAUGCAGUCUCUGGUUGGAUAAAAAAUACAGCGAGUAGAUAACAAGAAAUUGGGGCUGGGCGCCAAGACGUUAUCGUGAACAAAAAUACAAAGAGGCUGAUGAAGUCGUUGGAAAUAUUGUGGUAAUAUGCAAUGAUUGACAUUGCGAGUUGGAUUAUAAAUAACAUAUGUGUACGUAUCGCCGUUGGAUUGGUUUUCGCGAUAAUUUUACACGCAUGGAUGUGUGCGUCCUUACAUUCAGGCGAUUGAGGUGACGUUUCGAAUAUCAGUGAAGACCUUUCUGCGCUGCGAUAACGCGAUAUCCUUUGGCGGCCAAUCCCAUGAUUUGCUUGAAGAAAAUAUCCGCAGUUCCGCUGACCGGGGGAAGACAGAUUAGUGGACAUCUCACAGUUUUUGGCCCCGAAUCGUAGACCUUCCAUCCCUGAA